UACGUAGGGUGCAAGCGUUGUCCGGAAUUACUGGGCGUAAAGGGCGCGUAGGCGGCCUUCUAAGUCGAACGUGAAAUCCCCGGGCUCAACCCGGGAACUGCGUCCGAUACUGGAAGGCUUGAAUCCGGGAGAGGGAUGCGGAAUUCCAGGUGUAGCGGUGAAAUGCGUAGAUAUCUGGAGGAACACCGGUGGCGAAGGCGGCAUCCUGGACCGGUAUUGACGCUGAGGCGCGAAAGCGUGGGGAGCGAACAGG
rnacentral:rRNA from 1 species